AGGUUUUCCGAAGGAAAUAACUGGUUAUUAGAUUGGCGAAUGCGGGCGGGCUGGCUGGCUGGCUGGCUAGCGGGCUGGCUGGCGGGCUGGCGGAAUAAGCUUGUCCGGGCCAUAACUAUGUCGUUCAUUGUCAGAUUUUAAAAUCAUUUGGCACAUUUGUUCACCAUCAUUGGACGGUGUGUCGCGCGAAAUAAUUACGUCGAUAUCUCCAAGGUCAAGGUCACACUUUGAGUUCAAAGGUCAAAAAUGGCCAUAAAUGAGCUUGUCCUGGCCAUAACUAUGUCAUUCAUUGUGAGAUUUUAAAAUCAUUUGGCACAUUUGUUCACCAUCAUGGGACGGUGUGUCCCACGAAAGAAUCACGUCAAUAUCUUCAAUGUCAAGGUCGCCAC